rnacentral:rRNA from 1 species
GACGAACGCUGGCGGCGCGCUUAACACAUGCAAGUCGAGCGAAGCGGCGGACGGGUGAGUAACACGUGAGUAACCUGCAUUAGACAUUGGGAUAGCAUCGGGAAACCGGGAUUAAUACCAAAUGGUCUAAGAUGGACUCGCGUCCCAUUAGGUAGUUGGUGAGGUAACGGCCCACCAAGGCGGUGACGGGUAGCCGGCCUGCGAGGGUGACCGGCCACAUUGGGACUGCGAUACGGCCCAGACUCUACGGGAGGCAGCAGUUGGGGAUAUUGCACAAUGGGCGAACGCCUGAUGCAGCGACGCCGCGUGGGGGAUGAAGGCUUUCGGGUUGUAAACCUCGUUCGCUAUCGAACGGGUAGGUGGAGAAGAAGCGCCGGCUAACUACGUGCCAGCAGCCGCGGUAAUUC